GACGAACGCUGGCGGCGUGCUUAACACAUGCAAGUCGAACGGAAAGGCCCUGCUUUUGUGGGGUGCUCGAGUGGCGAACGGGUGAGUAACACGUGAGUAACCUGCCCUUGACUUUGGGAUAACUUCAGGAAACUGGGGCUAAUACCGGAUAGGAGCUCCUGCUGCAUGGUGGUGGUUGGAAAGUUUCGGCGGUUGGGGAUGGACUCGCGGCUUAUCAGCUUGUUGGCGGGGUAGUGGCUUACCAAGGCUUUGACGGGUAGCCGGCCUGAGAGGGUGACCGGCCACAUUGGGACUGAGAUACGGCCCAGACGCCUACGGGAGGCAGCAGUGGGGAAUAUUGCACAAUGGGCGGAAGCCUGAUGCAGCAACGCCGCGUGCGGGAUGACGGCCUUCGGGUUGUAAACCGCUUUCGCCUGUGACGAAGCGUGAGUGACGGUAAUGGGUAAAGAAGCACCGGCUAACUACGUG
rnacentral:rRNA from 1 species